rnacentral:rRNA from 1 species
UACGUAGGUGGCAAGCGUUGUCCGGAAUUAUUGGGCGUAAAGCGCGCGCAGGCGGUUUCUUAAGUCUGAUGUGAAAGCCCACGGCUUAACCGUGGAAGGUCAUUGGAAACUGGGAGACUUGAGUGCAGAAGAGAAGAGCGGAAUUCCACGUGUAGCGGUGAAGUGCGUAGAGAUGUGGAGGAACACCAGUGGCGAAGGCGGCUCUUUGGUCUGUAACUGACGCUGAGGCGCGAAAGCGUGGGGAUCAAACAGG